rnacentral:rRNA from 1 species
ACUGCCGGUGACAAACCGGAGGAAGGUGGGGAUGACGUCAAGUCAUCAUGGCCCUUACGGCCUGGGCUACACACGUGCUACAAUGGUCGGUACAAAGGGUUGCCAAGCCGCGAGGUGGAAGCUAAUCCCAUAAAACCGAUCGUAGUCCGGAUCGCAGUCUGCAACUCGACUGCGUGAAGUCGGAAUCGCUAGUAAUCGUGAAUCAGAAUGUCACGGUGAAUACCGUUCCCGGGCCUU